AAAUUGUGGCGUAAAACAUCGCCACAUAAGGUAUAAACCUUGUUGUGACUGACAAUUUCGUUGGAAUUGCGUUUUUAAUGGUCAGGAGUCAAAACAGACGAAAAUCAGAUUUACCCCCUCACCCGUAACAUUUCUCCCGUGCACUCCCAAAUCCCGACUUCACCUUCUUCUCCAUUUCUUCUUCUUCAUUUUCUCCCUACCAGCACAUUAAGCAAAACCCACUCAAAAAACCAUCCUACCCGGUUGUCUCUUCUCUACCACUGAAAACCACCACCAACAGUGGAGACUCCACCGAUUUGGCGACCGGAAGCAAAACCCACUCAUCAUCGUGCAUUACUCGCGAUUUAGAGGUUCCAGCUCGUAAAGUGCGAUUUUUGAAAUCGAUUAAGCUGCCGUUCGACAUCAAGCAAGACCACUUUGCCUAGUAGUAGUGGGUAAUCCAACUCGCCUCCUCCCCGUCGUCUCCUCCACUCGGUUGGAGUCGAUUACUGUUGGGUGCUUAGGAAUUGCUUAAAUAUCACUUCUUCAAUCCCAGUUUGUAUUGGAGAGUUGACAGAAUUGGAGAUGUUGGUGGUGGAAGGUCCGCGCAGUUGGGGGUUUCCUUUGCUGACUCAGAUGCCAAGUAUAUAGGGAGGGAAAGUAUGCAAGAAGCAGUGCAUGUGAAAAAUUUGGAUAUGAGCCAUGUAAAUGGUCACUAUUCUGAUUAUAGUGAGUCUUUUUUGUGAAGUGGACCGGAGCAAUCAAUUUGGUAAGGAUAGAGCAGAUGGAAAAGCAAUUAUGCUCCAUUGGAUUCUGUCAGGUAUGGAAAGAGCAUAUGUUAGUUUAGGAUGCUAGAAUGAAUUAAUUUUGUGAAAGACAUUGGGGAUAGUGGGCAACGAUUUUCUCAUUAGUCAGAUAUUUUCAACAAGAUUACUGUCUGAGCAUGCACAAAACCAAAUUGAAAUUAUCCCAUAUGCUUUGGUUUGAUUAUGUAAUAACAGAAUAAAAUCUUGUCCGGAAAAAUAAUUCUUAUUGAACCGCCAAAAGGGGAAAACAACCAUUUCACAGUAAUAUAGCCUCACUGUCAUUAUGUUUGCAAGCACACCCGCAUUUAGUUACUUACUUCUAGAAUGAUAUAUAGUAUAUCUGAAAAUAUAUAUAUAUGGCUGGUUGAUGGCAUGAAUCUCCAAGUGGGUCUUUUCAGCUUCUCUAAAGUAGUCAAAAACCAAUUGACUAAUUGACUUGUCUCCCCAAUAUUACACUGAAGUUGCUCUUCCUAAACUGGUUUAUUGAAGACCAAGACCUCAGAAGCUGAUGGUGGUAAACAAAAUGCGCAGCUUGAGGUAUUUGUUGCCCUUUUUUAAGGGAGGGGGUGAUAUUGGUUCCUGCUCUGUUUUAGAAUUGAAUGGAUUAUCAAUUAGCUAUCUUACUUAUAAGAUUGUGGCUUGGUUUAUCUGGAUUUUUUGGUUUUAGUUUUUUUAUUCUUCAGCAUAUACUAUAGUCCUUUCAUUUGAGUUAAGGAGAUCAUAAUAUGGUCAUAUUAGUAGUUUGAAUCUUUUUUGAGUGUGUUAAAAGAACUAUAAACCAAUCCAUAGGUAAGGUAAAAUUGUGAAGCCUGCAAAACUUGGGUGGUUUGGAAAUCCUCUUUGAACUUGUAGUGCAUUGUCGAUUGCUUUGUCUCUUUAUUUCUCAUAAUAUUUCAUUUUUUG